rnacentral:tRNA from 1 species
GCAUCGGUGGUUCAGUGGUAGAAUGCUGCCGGCUACGCUCGCGGCCCGGAUCGAUUCCCGGCCGAUGCA